rnacentral:rRNA from 1 species
CGCAAGUCUGAUGGAGCAACGCCGCGUGAGUGAAGAAGGGUUUCGGCUCGUAAAGCUCUGUUGGUAGAGAAGAACGAGCGUGGUAGUAACUGGCCACGCUGUGACGGUAUUCACCCAGAAAGUCACGGCUAACUACGUGCCAGCAGCCGCGGUAAUACGUAGGUGGCAAGCGUUAUCCGGAUUUAUCUGGGCGUAAAGCGAGCUGCAGGCGGUUGAAUAAGUCUGAUGUGAAAGCCUUCGGCUCAACCGGAGAAUGGCAUCAGAAACCGGGCAACUUGAGUGCAGAAGAGGACAGUGGAACUCCAUGUGUAGCGGUGGAAUGCGUAGAUAUAUGGAAGAACACCAGUGGCGAAGGCGGCUCUCUGGUCUGCAACUGACGCUGAGGCUCGAAAGCAUGGGUAGCGAACAGGAUUAGAUACCCUGGUAGUCCAUGCCGUAAACGAUGAGUGCUAAGUGUUGGGAGGUUUCCGCCUCUCAGUGCUGCAGCUAACGCAUUAAGCACUCCGCCUGGGGAGUACGACCGCAAGGUUGAAACUCAAAGGAAUUGACGGGGGCCCGCACAAGCGGUGGAGCAUGUGGUUUAAUUCGAAGCUACGCGAAGAACCUUACCAGGUCUUGACAUCC